AGAGUUUGAUCCUGGCUCAGAGUGAACGCUGGCGGUAGGCCUAACACAUGCAAGUCGAACGGCAGCACAGUAAGAGCUUGCUCUUAUGGGUGGCGAGUGGCGGACGGGUGAGGAAUGCAUCGGAAUCUACUCUUUCGUGGGGGAUAACGUAGGGAAACUUACGCUAAUACCGCAUACGACCUACGGGUGAAAGCCGGGGACCUUCGGGCCUGGCGCGAAUGAAUGAGCCGAUGCCCGAUUAGCUAGUUGGCGGGGUAAUGGCCCACCAAGGCGACGAUCGGUAGCUGGUCUGAGAGGAUGAUCAGCCACACUGGAACUGAGACACGGUCCAGACUCCUACGGGAGGCAGCAGUGGGGAAUAUUGGACAAUGGGGGGAACCCUGAUCCAGCCAUGCCGCGUGUGUGAAGAAGGCCUUUUGGUUGUAAAGCACUUUAAGCGAGGAGGAGGCUACUUAGAUUAAUACUCUAGGAUAGUGGACGUUACUCGCAGAAUAAGCACCGGCUAACUCUGUGCCAGCAGCCGCGGUAAUA
rnacentral:rRNA from 1 species